CAGGAUAAAUGGCAAACUUGUCGAAAGGCAAGGACGCAAAGCUACAGGGCCUUCUGUAUGAUGGCAGCCAGCUACCGGU
rnacentral:ncRNA from 1 species